rnacentral:lncRNA from 1 species
AAAUUUUGAGGUGUUACAACGUUCUCACAAAGGAACCAAACAUAUGGUACAAUGCAUAAAAAUCAAUGAUUUGAUAGAAAUGACAAAUUUAGAAUAGUUGAUGGUCAAGGAGCGGUAAAUGAGAAGGAUGAAGAAGAAGAUGAGAUUGAUGUCGAUGAUUGAUUUUCUUAUAUUUGUUGAGUAUUUAUAUUGUUAUUCCACUUUUUAAUUUUUGUAUUUUGUUAAUAAAUUUUAAUUGAAUUUUUAUAAAAUUUUCAUAUUUAGAAUUAUUUUUUGAAAUAAAAAUAUAAUUUUAUUUUAUUAAUUACUUUUUGAAAUAUAAUUAUUAAUUAUUUUAUAAAAAU